AAAACCUGCAUUUUCUAACUCAAAUUUUCUUUCACACUCUUCUUGGCCUCUGACAAACGCUGCAAGCUGGAUUCAUGGAGGUAGAGUGCAGUGUGCAGCCCAGGAGCAUAUUUAAUUCUACCAGACAGAGCAGAGCCGUGAGCAAAUUCUUCCUGGCUGAAAGAAGGGAACACGUUCGUAAGCUGGAGACCCAGACCUGUGAGGGGUGCAACUUCCUGUUUCCCUGGCGAAUGCUUCAGAAAACACUCAGCUGGGAAUGUUAAAAUUUCCAUUCAUCGCCGCCCUCCAAGGCUCGUGGAAGGAUGGAUGGGCUGAUCACACAGCGGUCGAACUAGCCUGGAACCAGCCUGAAUGAGCUGCGGGACGAUGACAGUUUCUAGCAGGAGCCUGAAAAUCUAGCACAAUGGGGUCAUGACCAGUGUAUUCAGAGAAGGAGGUGAUGCAUGGGGCCCCUAACGAGGUUCCCGCUCACCAAAGCUGAUUCACUUUUGCCGCUGCUGUACCUCCAAUGGACACCACUGCUGAGCCAUCGAAAAAGGCACCAACUCUCAAGGUGAACAACUGUCUACGUGGUGGCAAGGUGAUUACAGUGGGC
rnacentral:lncRNA from 1 species